UCGGGUUGUAAACCUCUUUUAGUAGGGAAGAAGCGAAAGUGACGGUACCUGCAGAAAAAGCACCGGCUAACUACGUGCCAGCAGCCGCGGUAAUACGUAGGGUGCAAGCGUUGUCCGGAAUUAUUGGGCGUAAAGAGCUCGUAGGCGGUUUGUCGCGUCUGCUGUGAAAUCUGGGGGCUCAACCCCAGCCUGCAGUGGGUACGGGCAGACUAGAGUGCGGUAGGGGAGAUUGGAAUUCCUGGUGUAGCGGUGGAAUGCGCAGAUAUCAGGAGGAACACCGAUGGCGAAGGCAGAUCUCUGGGCCGUAACUGACGCUGAGGAGCGAAAGCAUGGGGAGCGAACAGGAUUAGAUACCCUGGUAGUCCAUGCCGUAAACGUUGGGAACUAGAUGUGGGGACCAUUCCACGGUCUCCGUGUCGCAGCUAACGCAUUAAGUUCCCCGCCUGGGAGUACGGCCGCAAGGCUAAAACUCAAGGAUUGACGGGGCCCCACAGCGCGGAGAUGCGGAUUAAUUCGAUGCACGGGACGAACUUAACAAGGCUUGACAUAUACGAGA
rnacentral:rRNA from 1 species